rnacentral:lncRNA from 1 species
CCCCAAACACCCUUUCUCAACGAAGCUUUUACUCUCUUCAUACAUUCCUGAAAACGUCACAAUCCUACAGUCACACACAAGGCGCACCUAUUAUCAGUCACCCAGAUAGGCAGAAAAAAAACACAAGGGAAAGAAAGAGCAGUCACAAACUGUUUCAGUAACAGCCGUACGUAUCAACUUCACAAGGCAAGCCCGUUCCACAGAGGAUACCAGGCACCUAUACAACCUCAAAGUGACACAGGCACAUCCCAACACUCUGUCACAACAGCCUUGUCUCCAGUCGCAAACAAACCCGUCACACACGUGGUACUCAAACAAUCAUAGAAAUAAGCCUAACUCCUGUCAGAAGCACAGUUCGGGACCCAGGACCAGCCGCCCGAGUUCUAAACCCGAUAUUGGGUUCGCCCGCCCAGCGGGUGGCGAACAAGGUACUCCACAGACUCCGGCCCUCUCCCAACGCGAAGACCCCAACUCUCGCGAAGAGUCGAAAAUGAAGCGGUAUCCCGGACGCGGUGCCUCUGGGAGAUGUAGUCCAGCCAGGGAAGGGCGUUUACCUGGUCCGCCAGGAAGCUAG